UUCAGUCACGAGGCGAAUGCCCCCCUCAGUGCGCAUGCUGCACAGACCUGUUGCUGCGCAUGUCUGUUGGUAGGCGUGUCUGUUGUUGCGCAUGCGCCUUGCUGCCCACCACCUGUCCACGCAGAGCUCUGCAAGGAGAGGUCGUGUCUUCAUUCUUUCCGCCAUCUUGAUUCUUUCUCACUGAUUGAGACGCAGCCGUGGGAAAUAUGAGUGAGCGUGUAAGAACAAGAUCCCAAUCCUCAGAAAGAGGAAAUGAACAAGAGUCUUGGCCGGUUGAAUCUGUGAUUGUCCAGCAGCCCACUGAGGAAAAACGUCAAGAAGAGGAAGCACCAACUGAAAAUCAGGGUAUUGCACCUAGUGGGGAGAUCGAAAAUGAAGGAGCA